GGGAUGAAGGCCUUCGGGUUGUAAACCUCUGUCAGGAGUAGGGAAUGGCGAGGGCGCUAACAUCGCCUUCGCGUGACUAAGGCUCCAAAGGAAGCUCCGGCUAACUACGUGCCAGCAGCCGCGGUAAUACGUAGGGAGCGAGCGUUACUCGGAAUCACUGGGCAUAAAGGGCGCGUAGGCGGGCGCGUUAGUCCGAUGUAAAAGCCCCCGGCUCAACCGGGGAACGCCAUCGGAUACUGCGUGCCUGGAGUGCGGGAGGGGAGAGUGGAACUCUUGGUGGAGCGGUGAAAUGCGUAGAUAUCAAGAGGAACGCCGGUGACGAAAGCGGCUCUCUGGCCCGUAACUGACGCUGAGGCGCGAAAGCUAGGGGAGCAAACGGGAUUAGAUACCCCGGUAGUCCUAGCCCUAAACGAUGGAUACUAGGUAGGCGCGACUCCAAAGUUGUGUCUGCCGCAGCAAAUGUGCUAAGUAUCCCGCCUGGGGAGUACGGUCGCAAGGCUG
rnacentral:rRNA from 1 species